rnacentral:lncRNA from 1 species
UCUUGGGAACCACACCUGAAACAAGCUCGUUUAAAUCUCCAACACUCACCAAUAUGUCGCCUGCCACACUGUUGACAUUCAGGCCGGGUGUUUCCUACAUUGCCCACACUUGCUACAGAGGUAGCUCGAGUUGUAGCUCCAGAAUACGACCUCCCUCGGUCUCUGCGUGAGUACCCAACUGAACCAGUUGGUCGUGGAUCCAUCCCUUUAAACUUCUUCGAAUGAGAUUGAAAUGUUCUGCCCAUUGUCCUCUUCCUUACAUCUCGAGAUUCCAUCUCUGCCC